UCAAGCUUUUGCAAGGUUACCAGUUUGGUUUUUGAUUGGAGGGUUUUGAAGAUCAAGGGAAUUAGAGAGAGGAGCUUCAUGCUUCGGGUCGAGGAAGGAAAGACAUAGAAUUUGGAUUUUUCUUCUUCGUAGAGUUUUGAGAAGACUAAGGCAAUCGCUGCAGAAGUCAGUGUUGUAAUGGUGAAUCGGGAUUUUUAAAUGAAGUGGGUUUAAAUACUCUUGACUGUUU
rnacentral:lncRNA from 1 species